AUAAUGGUGUCAGGGGAAAGUGAUUCAGUGGAACUAAUGUUCAGGUUCUCAUGGGGAAGUAGUUCUGUGUGACCACCUACUACUAUAUAAGACCAGCCUAGCAGGGGUAAAGGCAGCUGUUUAAGAGCCAGCACAGGAUGUACCAUUAGUGCUUUCUACUCUCUUACAGAUAUCUCUCUGGUUACUAACACUCAUCACAGAUCCUACCUCCUCAGCAAGAUUCAAGUGUUCUCAGAAAGAGAAGCAAAUCACUUACUGCACAGCAAACAUGGGAGGCAAACUUGGCAAGAAGGGGCUCAAUGUGGCUUAUGAGAAACCAACGGAGCAGAGGACUGAAGAAGUUACAGAGGCGGCUACAGGGAAGCCAGCAGAGAGUGAGGAGGCCUGCCCUGCUGUGGAGUCGAUGGGACUCACAACUGAGAAGAGGGACAAAGAUUCCCAGGUCCCUGCUGAUGAGACAGAAGACGAGGAAGGAGGCAGAAUCCCUGCAGUGCACGCAGAAGAGAUCUGUAAACCUGAACUAAGGCAGCUAGAUUUGGUGCCUAAUGAAGAGCAGCUGGUGGCUGCUGCCAGUGAGGAAGCCACUAAGUCUCCAGAGGCAGGCCCUUACUAGCUUCUAGAAGUCACAGCACCUAAAGGUGUUGAGAGCAGACAGGAAGGGGAUGCUUAAAAUUUCUGUGCUCUGUAAGGGGAAUAGGCAAACAAAUUCAUGACAUGUUGUUAUCUGUAUGUAUUCUAACAAUUGCAUGAAGUCCUGUAUCUUUAGGAUUGGGCUGCCUGAAUGUAUGUAACACUUCAGUAUUUGAACUAACCUAAUCUCACUUCCUCUCUGUUUAAUGUAUUUCCUAUGGGUUUUUACAUCCUUUGGCUUGGUAACUUUUUAUAUGUAAAAAUGAGUGGCUUUUUGAAGACCAGAUUUUGUUUAUUCCUCUUACUAUCCUGAGUUCUCAGGUGACCUCAACUAUUUGUCCUGCCUACAGUAAAGAUCUUGUGAGCUGAUGCCUAGCUUUACUAGUGCCAGGUCCUAUCUGAGGCACCAGCUGCCACUUCUCUAAUUGAAGGAUACGUAAUGAAGGUUAAUAUAAUUGUUUGUGAGUUAGCAGGCUCUACACAAUACUCAUUGUGAAGAGCCUGCUAUGUACAAUAACAGAACACUGGAGUCUUAUAGAAGUCUAUGUAUACUAACCUGACUGGGUGACUGGUUUAUUCUAAUGUUUGCUGUCAAUAAAUGUCAUUUUAUAACUCUCAA